rfam:Nematostella vectensis strain CH2 x CH6 NEMVEscaffold_239_Cont20328, whole genome shotgun sequence.
ACCAGGAUGGCCGAGUGGUGAAGGCGUUGGACUUAAGUUCCAAUGUACGAAUGUACGCGUGGGUUCGAACCCCACUCCUGGUA